GUUUGUGAGCCUCGCCAGUAUCUAUGCUUGUCUAAGAUAAGCCAUGCAUAGCGAUACCCAUGCCGAAAAGGCGAAAGCCGCGAAGGCUCAUUUAAAUCAUAUAUGUCUCUUCCACUUAGAAAAAUACAUUGCAGUGAGCCUGGACCCUUGGGUAACAAAAAGGUUACGCAAGAUGAAAUAACUUGUGCCGAUCCAAGGCAAAGAGCCACAAAAUUAAAGUGUAAAUAACAACUAAUGGUAAGGUGACUAACCUUACCAUUACACAAACCGCUUCGAUUCCGGAGAGGGAGCCUGAGAAACGGCUACCACAUCCAAGGAAGGCAGCAGGCGCGCAAAUUACCCACUCCCGGCACGGGGAGGAAAAUACGGGACCUAAAACAACCUAAUUGAAUGAGUACACUCUAAUCUUCGAGGGAAAAAGAAUGAGUGCAGGCAGCCGAAUCCAGCCCAAUAGCGUAUACUAAAAACAAAGCGAGAAAAAACUCGUAGUUUGAUCUCAGUUCCAGACGAUAUGGCCACUUACGCCGAUGCGACAAAACAUCGGUGCACAUUGUGUGCCUCGAGAUGGCCGGUGCUUUUACUUUGAAAAAAUUAGAGUGCUCAACGCAGGCGAGUCGCCUGAAUAAACUUGCAUGGAAUAAUAGAACAAGACCUCGUUUCUGUUCUGUUGGUUUUUGGAACGAGGUAAGAUUGAAGAGGGACGGCGGGGGCAUUCGUAUUGCGGCGCUAGAGGUGAAAUUCUUGGACCGUCGCAAGACGAACUACUGCGAAAGCAUUUGCCAAGAAUGUUUUCAUUGAUCAAGAACGAAAGUCAGAGGUUCGAAGGCGAUCAGAUACCCUAGUUCUGACCAUAAACGAUGCCAACCAGCGAUCCGCCUGAGUUACUCAAAUGACUCGGCGGGCAGCUUCCGGGAAACCAAAGUAUUUGGGUUCCGGGGGAAGUAUGGUUGCAAAGCUGAAACUUAAAGGAAUUGACGGAAGGGCACCACCAGGAGUGGAGCCUGCGGCUUAAUUUGACUCAACACGGGAAAACUUACCCGGCCCGGACACUGGGAGGAUUGACAGAUUGAGAGCUCUUUCUUGAUUCGGUGGAUGGUGGUGCAUGGCCGUUCUUAGUUGGUGGAGCGAUUUGUCUGGUUAAUUCCGAUAACGAACGAGACGCUAGCCUAUUAAAGAGGUGCGGGGUUCCCAGCACCUUACAACCUUCUUAGAGGGACAAGCGGCUCCUAGCCGCACGAAACAGAGCAAUAACAGGUCUGUGAUGCCCUUAGAUGUCCGGGGCCGCACGCGCGCUACACUGAAGGAAGCAGCGUGUCUUUAUCCCUGUCUGAAAAGACUGGGUAACCCGUGGAACUUCUUUCGUGAUUGGGAUAGGGGCUUGCAAUUGUUCCCCUUCAACUGAACGAUGAAUUCCCAGAAGCGCGAGUCAUAAGCUCGCGUUGAUUACGUCCCUGCCCUUUGUACACACCGCCCGUCGCUACUACCGAUUGAAUGAUUUAGUGAGGUCUUCGGACCGAUGUCCGGCGCGGCCUUUCGGUUGCGCCGGUCUGUUGGAAAGAUGACCAAACUUGAUCAUUUAGAGGAAGUAAAAGUCGUAACAAGGUUUCCGUAGGUGAACCUGCGGAAG
rnacentral:rRNA from 1 species